rnacentral:siRNA from 1 species
UCAUAGUACCCUCCCACGGUAC